rnacentral:rRNA from 1 species
AGAGUUUGAUCAUGGCUCAGAUUGAACGCUGGCGGCAGGCCUAACACAUGCAAGUCGAGCGGAAACGAGUUAUCUGAACCUUCGGGGAACGAUAACGGCGUCGAGCGGCGGACGGGUGAGUAAUGCCUAGGAAAUUGCCCUGAUGUGGGGGAUAACCAUUGGAAACGAUGGCUAAUACCGCAUGAUGCCUACGGGCCAAAGAGGGGGACCUUCGGGCCUCUCGCGUCAGGAUAUGCCUAGGUGGGAUUAGCUAGUUGGUGAGGUAAGGGCUCACCAAGGCGACGAUCCCUAGCUGGUCUGAGAGGAUGAUCAGCCACACUGGAACUGAGACACGGUCCAGACUCCUACGGGAGGCAGCAGUGGGGAAUAUUGCACAAUGGGCGCAAGCCUGAUGCAGCCAUGCCGCGUGUGUGAAGAAGGCCUUCGGGUUGUAAAGCACUUUCAGUCGUGAGGAAGGUGGUGUAGUUAAUAGCUGCAUUAUUUGACGUUAGCGACAGAAGAAGCACCGGCUAACUCCGUGCCAGCAGCCGCGGUAAUACGGAGGGUGCGAGCGUUAAUCGGAAUUACUGGGCGUAAAGCGCAUGCAGGUGGUUUGUUAAGUCAGAUGUGAAAGCCCGGGGCUCAACCUCGGAAUAGCAUUUGAAACUGGCAGACUAGAGUACUGUAGAGGGGGGUAGAAUUUCAGGUGUAGCGGUGAAAUGCGUAGAGAUCUGAAGGAAUACCGGUGGCGAAGGCGGCCCCCUGGACAGAUACUGACACUCAGAUGCGAAAGCGUGGGGAGCAAACAGGAUUAGAUACCCUGGUAGUCCACGCCGUAAACGAUGUCUACUUGGAGGUUGUGGCCUUGAGCCGUGGCUUUCGGAGCUAACGCGUUAAGUAGACCGCCUGGGGAGUACGGUCGCAAGAUUAAAACUCAAAUGAAUUGACGGGGGCCCGCACAAGCGGUGGAGCAUGUGGUUUAAUUCGAUGCAACGCGAAGAACCUUACCUACUCUUGACAUCCAGAGAACUUUCCAGAGAUGGAUUGGUGCCUUCGGGAACUCUGAGACAGGUGCUGCAUGGCUGUCGUCAGCUCGUGUUGUGAAAUGUUGGGUUAAGUCCCGCAACGAGCGCAACCCUUAUCCUUGUUUGCCAGCGAGUAAUGUCGGGAACUCCAGGGAGACUGCCGGUGAUAAACCGGAGGAAGGUGGGGACGACGUCAAGUCAUCAUGGCCCUUACGAGUAGGGCUACACACGUGCUACAAUGGCGCAUACAGAGGGCGGCCAACUUGCGAAAGUGAGCGAAUCCCAAAAAGUGCGUCGUAGUCCGGAUUGGAGUCUGCAACUCGACUCCAUGAAGUCGGAAUCGCUAGUAAUCGUGGAUCAGAAUGCCACGGUGAAUACGUUCCCGGGCCUUGUACACACCGCCCGUCACACCAUGGGAGUGGGCUGCAAAAGAAGUAGGUAGUUUAACCUUCGGGGGGACGCUUACCACUUUGUGGUUCAUGACUGGGGUGAAGUCGUAACAAGGUAGCGCUAGGGGAACCUGGCGCUG